rnacentral:rRNA from 1 species
GAUGAACGCUGGCGGCGUGCCUAAUACAUGCAAGUCGAGCGAACGGACGAGAAGCUUGCUUCUCUGAUGUUAGCGGCGGACGGGUGAGUAACACGUGGAUAACCUACCUAUAAGACUGGGAUAACUUCGGGAAACCGGAGCUAAUACCGGAUAAUAUUUUGAACCGCAUGGUUCAAAAGUGAAAGACGGUCUUGCUGUCACUUAUAGAUGGAUCCGCGCUGCAUUAGCUAGUUGGUAAGGUAACGGCUUACCAAGGCAACGAUGCAUAGCCGACCUGAGGGGGUGAGCGGCCACGAUGGAAAUGGAAAGCGGUCCAGAGGCCGAGGGGAGGAAGAAGUAGGGAAUCUUACGCAAUGGGCGAAAGAAUGACGGAGAAACGCAGCGUGAGUGAUGAAGGUAUUCGGAUCGUAAAAAUCUGUUAUUAGGGAAGAACAUAUGUGUAAGUAAAUGUGCACAUCUUGACGGUACCUAAUCAGAAAGCCACGGCUAACUACGUG